GGCCUCAGGGUGCAAAAAUAAAUUACAAUGGUAAAUUACUUAUUUACAAUAUUAAAAACAAAUUUACAAGUUUUUAAACAAAUUUACACGUUUUUUUAACAACUUUACAAGUUUUUAAACAAAUUUACAAGUUUUUUUAAUGAGUGAAUACAUUUACAAUGAGUGAAUAAAUUUUAAAGUUUUUUUUAACAAAUUUACAAGUUUUUUUUAACAAAUUUACAAUGACCGAACAAAAGUAAAAGUUUUUUAACAAAUUUACAACGAGUGAACAAAUGUACAAGUUUUUUAACAAAUUUACAAUUGUUUAAACAAAUUUACAAUGAGCGAACAAAAUUACAAGUUUUAAAACAAAUUUACGUUUAUUACGGAAAGGGUAGGUACAACACGCUGACGUCACGCAUCUGAGCCUCCGGUGAGAAACCCGGAAGUAUCGCCGUGAAUCACAUGAGAGUUGUGAAUGCGAUGUUGUGUAUUAGGCUGUACAUAAUAUUAACGAAAGAGAGUGAUAAUAUAUAACCUUUCAUCGCUUCCGAAGUGACUAAAAGGGAUAUUGGACCUUAUUUUCAGAUUACAGACAACACGAGAGGGUGCUCCAAACUUUUUAAUCAGGACUGCAUUGUUUGUUCGCUCCCGGGGUUACAUAGACUGAAACGGGGAAGCGUGACGAGUUUGUUUACAUGGUGCUAUAAACUCCAACCCAGGAGGACACUUCAGAGGAAUCACAGGGAUAACAUGGUGUGAUUUUUUUUUGUCAAAACCAGAACUGACUUCCGAAUCCACCUGGAACGCAUUUACUUUGAUGGAGAUUUGGGCGGAGGCUAAACCCUCCAAAUAGUAUAUUUAGAGAAAUGGAAGUCAGUAAAAAUUAAGUUGGACUCAUUGUUUUUAACAACUGGCUACCUAACACAUGCUUAUAAACCCAGGAAUAGCACACACACACACACACACACACACACACACACACACACUUCUAACAGACAUGCAAUGCACACAUUAGAUACGUGUUAAGAAAAAUAACUGUACAGUUUUAGAACAACUCAUUUAUACAUUAAUAAACUUAAUUUCACUCAUUGUUCAAAAUAUAGUUUUAUUUAUAAAUGAACUUCAAUGUAUAUUGUCUCAAGUAUGAAAAAAUAUAUAUGUACAUUUUUAGAACCAAUCAUAUUUACAUUAAAAGCCAGUGGGUACUAACACACUUUUUUACACAGGGCCAUGUAGUUUUGACUUUUUUCCUUUAAUAUUAAAAACCUUCAUUUAAAAACAGCAUGUUGUGUUCACUUGGGUUUUAUUCUUUGACUAAUAUUUUAAUUUGUUUGAUGAUCUGAAACAUUAAAGUGUGACAAAUAUGCAAUAAUAGCAUGGGAAAUCUGGAUGGGGGCUAACACUUUUUCACACCACUGUAUAUAAAGUUGUUCCAAUGUAUAUUUUCUAUCUACUGUACAAAUUGUAACAAUAAAGCAAAGUAAAAACAUUUAAAUGAAAAACGUUUGUUUUUGGGAUUAAAGGAAUUUUUCACCCAA